UUUAGCUCAGUGGCACAGCACCUGCCUGGUAAGCAUAAGGUCCUGAGUUUGAUUCCCAGAA
rfam:Cavia porcellus supercont2_6 genomic scaffold, whole genome shotgun sequence.